rnacentral:rRNA from 1 species
CGAAGGCAAGCGGAUCUCUUAAAGCGUUCUCAGUUCGGACUGUAGGCUGCAACUCGCCUACACGAAGCUGGAAUCGCUAGUAAUCGCGGAUCAGCACGCCGCGGUGAAUACGUUCCCGGGCCUUGUACACACCGCCCGUCACACCAUGAGAGUCUGUAACACCCAAAGCCGGUGGGAUAACCUUUAUAGGAGUCAGCCGUCUAAGGUAGGACAGAUGAUUAGGGUGAAGUCGUAACAAGGUAAC